rnacentral:rRNA from 1 species
CCUGCCCUUCAGAGGGGGACAACAGUUGGAAACGACUGCUAAUACCGCAUACGAUCUAAUCUCGGCAUCGAGGAUAGAUGAAAGGUGGCCUCUACAUGUAAGCUAUCACUGAAGGAGGGGAUUGCGUCUGAUUAGCUAGUUGGAGGGGUAACGGCCCACCAAGGCGAUGAUCAGUAGCCGGUCUGAGAGGAUGAACGGCCACAUUGGGACUGAGACACGGCCCAGACUCCUACGGGAGGCGCAUG